GACGAACGCUGGCGGCGUGCUUAACACAUGCAAGUCGAACGGAAAGGCCCUGCUCUUGUGGGGUGCUCGAGUGGCGAACGGGUGAGUAACACGUGAGUAACCUGCCCUUGACUUUGGGAUAACUUCAGGAAACUGCGGCUAAUACCGGAUAGGAGCUCCUGCUGCAUGGUGGUGGUUGGAAAGUUUCGGCGGUUGGGGAUGGACUGGCGGCUUAUCAGCUUGUUGGUGGGGUAGUGGCUUACCAAGGCUUUGACGGGUAGCCCGCCUGAGAGGGUGACCGGCGACAAUAGGACUGAGAGACGGCGCAGAAUGCUACGGGAGGCAGCAGGGGGGAAUAUUGCAGAAUGGGCGGAAGCGUGAUGUAGAAACGCCGCGUGCGGGAUGACGGCCUUCGGGUUGUAAACCGCUGUCGCCUGUGACGAAGCGUGAGUGACGGUAAUGGGUAAAGAAGCACCGGCUAACUACGUG
rnacentral:rRNA from 1 species